rnacentral:rRNA from 1 species
GAUGAACGCUGGCGGCGUGCCUAAUACAUGCAAGUCGAGCGAACAGAUGAGGAGCUUGCUCCUCUGACGUUAGCGGCGGACGGGUGAGUAACACGUGGAUAACCUACCUAUAAGACUGGGAUAACUUCGGGAAACCGGAGCUAAUACCGGAUAAUAUAUUGAACCGCAUGGUUCAAUAGUGAAAGCCGGUUUUGCUGUCACUUAUAGAUUGAUCCGCGCCGCAUUAGCUAGUUGGUAAGGUAACGGCUUACCAAGGCAACGAUGCGUAGCCGACCUGAGAGGGUGAUCGGCCACACUGGAACUGAGACACGGUCCAGACUCCUACGGGAGGAAGCAGUAGGGAAUCUUCAGCAAUGGGCGAAAGCCUGACGGAGCAACGCCGCGUGAGUGAUGAAGGUCUUCGGAUCGUAAAACUCUGUUAUUAGGGAAGAACAAAUGUGUAAGUAACUAUGCACGUCUUGACGGUACCUAAUCAGAAAGCCACGGCUAACUACGUG